CCAGAGUUGGCUGAGCGGAUUAAGCAGCAUCCUUCUAAGAUGCCCCACGCAGGUUCGAAUCCUGCACUCUGGG
rnacentral:tRNA from 1 species